rnacentral:rRNA from 1 species
UACGGAGGGAGCUAGCGUUGUUCGGAAUUACUGGGCGUAAAGCGCGUGUAGGCGGCUCGAUAAGUCUGCUGUGAAAGUCCAGGGCUCAACCCUGGAAUGCCGGUGGAAACUGUCGAGCUAGAGUCCGGAAGAGGCGAGUGGAAUUCCUGGUGUAGCGGUGAAAUGCGCAGAUAUCAGGAGGAACACCAAUGGCGAAGGCAGCUCGCUGGGACGGUACUGACGCUGAGACGCGAAAGCGUGGGGAGCAAACAGG